UGAUACUUCACAUUCAACCACACGAGUCUA
rnacentral:piRNA from 1 species